AUUCUCAUGCCUCAGCCUCCAGAGUAGCUGGGAUUACAGGCACACGCCACCAUGCCCAGCUAAUUUUUGUAUUUUUUGGUAGAGACGGGGUUUCACCAUGUUGGCCAGGCUGGUCUCCAACUCCUGGAUCAAGUGAUCCACCCACCUUGGCCUCCCAAAGGGCUGGGAUUACAGGCGUGAGCCACCACGCCCGGCCAGGCUGAGUUUUUCUCCAGCGGUUCAUCGAGUCCUCUGACAAAGCAAGGAGCCGAUAUAGGGCCAGUGGGACGGUCGCCAGUCAAGGGGCUGGGCUUGGUGGAAAGAUUAAUACUCACUGGACGUCCAGUCGAAACGCCCUGAAACCUAUGAUGCUGUCGACCAAACGAAGGCCUGGAAUACCAAAAUAGCCACAUAGGCACAGCCCUUCCCCAUGUUUCUGAGCGCAGUGUUUCCUCUGGGGUCACACAGGUGUCUUCUUGAUCAGCCUCAGCCAUGCUUGGUGAGAGCCGGGCACUGGGGGAGCCAGGCACUGUGCUCUCCUGUGACGCUGUAGACACCAUCCUGAGCUGUGCAGACCCCAGCGCUGCCCAGAGCGGAGCAGAGGGGGCCGGGCCAAGGAGUGGGAGCUGGGGACAGGGAACCUGGAGGCGAGGUGGAUAGAGCCCCGGAGACCGCCCUAGGGACCUACUCCAGACCAAACUCUGCCAGACCUCGGAGCACUGGGGCCUCCUUCUCUGCCCUCCCUCCUCAGGCAAGGCCUCUGGAGCUCCCCAGCUCUCGUGGAAGCCCCAGGGGCCCAGGACUGACCCAGCCUCUUUCACAGCCAGAGUCCUGGUGGAGGAUGACGAGAUCAUGCAGGGAUUCAUCAGGGCUUUCAGGCCCCUGCCCAGGCACCUAUGGUACUUGCUGGACUUGAAACAGAUGGAAGGUGAGCUCUGCCUAGGACACGCCCAGCCUCAGCUGGAGGAGAAGCUGCCUCUUUCUCAGCCUGAGCCCCCUGCUGGCUCUGUAGGACUCAGGUCACUCCUUUUUGGCCCCUCCCCUGUUCUCCCCCGGCCUCCUGGGGUGCAGAGCCACCCUGAGAUGGGGUCCUGCCCUCUCCCGCCAUCUUUUCACCCCCUCUCUAGCCCUGGGGCUGCUGUGUCCCCAGCUGUCUCUUCUCUCGCUGACACCUCCACUGUCCCAUCUCCUCCCACAGAGCUGUGCCGUUUCUAGGUGAGCUCCUGCCUGGUCCUGCCUCCUGGGUAAUGUAUCAGCCUCGCCCACUGUCUGCGGCUGCCUCUCUGGGCCCCUGGGACAGACCCCACUGUGUCCAGUUCAUAAGAUGGAGUCUCGCUCUGUCACCAGGCUGGAGUGCAGUGGCACAAUCUCAGCUCACUGCAACCUCGACCUCCUGGGUUCAAGCGAUUCUCCUGGCUCAGCCCCCCGCCAUUCAUCCAUCCAUCUAUUCAUCUAUCCAUCCAUUCCAUCCAAUCAUCCAUUCAUCUAUCCAUUCAUUCUGUUACCGGAUGGUGCUGUGCAGUUACAGGCUCCUGGUGUCCUGAACAGAGAAUUUGAUGUGGCACACACAAAUAGCAAAGCAAGCAGCAAAAGUUUAUUAAGCACAGUAGCACUCUGAGAGAGGGGAG
rnacentral:lncRNA from 1 species